GACCCCAGUUUAGGCGGGAUUGC
rnacentral:rRNA from 1 species